UUGGAAUUGUUUAUUCAGAAUUUCUUGUCCUUUAAUGAAUGCUGGAGCUCAUUGAUGCUUUGCUAACUAUAAUCUCCUUAUCACAAAUAAUAGAAUUCUCUGAAAUUGGACUAAAAGUGCAUAGCAGAAAAGAUAACAACUGACUCAUCAAAAUAAGAUUUAAACUUUAGACUCCCUAACUUUAGGAAAGGAAAAGAGUGUUCUUGCACCAUGGAGACCGCAUGCGCGUGAAGUAUGUACCUAUUCGUAGUUUGCACUUUGCAUGUUGAUGGAUGUAUCAAUGAUACUUUGGCAAGAUACUAGGAAGAUAAAAUGCUUGGCAUAUGUGAAGCAAUGGAUUCAUAAAUUAUGAACCUAAUUAGAUUUAACAUUUUAAUUUUUUUUUUAUUUGAUAUAAUAAUUUCAUGGAUUAUGCUAUGUUCAUAAACAGUUUCCAUGUCCUCCAGAAACACAUUCAAUGAACAGGUGGUGAUUUCUCUCUUUUGUGAUUCCUAGAGGACUUUCUAGGACCUUAUUUUGCAAAUUUAAGAAGUUUGCAAAAAUCUAAGCCCACACUCCCACCAGGUUUGCAUUUGCUUCCUAAAUCCAAUUAACCAGAAUAAACAAGAUUAUAAUAUCAAAAUUAUUUAGACAUGCCAAGCACUUCUAUCCAAGUAUCCAUGCUUCCUUGGUUGUAUUUCAGGCAAACUUACAACUAAAUCUCAAGCUCACCUGAAGUUUAUCAGCUCUAUUUUAUUCAAAGAAAAAAUAGACAUUAUUUUAGGGCCUCAAGUUUUAAUCCUGCCUAGAAAGAUAAAUAACCAUCAUGCAACUCAUAAUCCUAAAUUUAUCUGUUUCAUUUGAAAACAAAUAAACAAUAUCCGACAAGUAUUUAGUAAUCAUUCAGAUCAAAAUCAAGAAAAUGCUAGUUUGUUGUUGAAUAGAAAUAAGGAAUGUCAGUCUUCGACAACCACUGAACUAACCAUAAAUUAAAAUCCAGUCCCUCCACUAUCACCUUAACCCAACUUAAUUAGGUCUUGAUUGCCUUAUUCCCAAGCUUGUUAGGGUAAGAAUAUUGUUGCAAGAUUCUACUUUUCUCCUACUUAAUUGGAAUGGAAAGUGAGAUGUAAACAUCAGUUCAUCUCCCUUCAUGACAGACGGGGAAACUCACUUUACAAAGUGAU
rnacentral:misc_RNA from 1 species